rnacentral:rRNA from 1 species
GUCGAACGCUGGCGGCGUGCUUAACACAUGCAAGUCGAACGGAAACGCCCUGCUUUUGUGGGGUGCGCGAGUGGCGAACGGGUGAGUAACACGAAAGUAACCUGCCCUGGACUUUGGGAUAACUUCAGGAAACUGGGGCUAAUACCGGAUAGGAGCUCCUGAUGCAUGGUGGGGGUUGGAAAGUUUAGGCGGUGGGGGUUAGACUCGCGGCUUAUCAGUUUGUGGGUGGGGGAGUGGCAUACGAAGGCUUUGACGGGUAGCCGGCAUUGGAGCGUGGCCGGCGACAUUGGGACUGCGGUACGGCGCAGACGGCAACGGGGGACAGCAGUGGGAAGCAUUGCACAAUGAGGCGGCGCGUGGUGCAGAGGCGUCGCGUGCGGGAUGACGGCCUUCGGGUAGUAAACCGCUUUCGCCUGUGACGCAGCGUGAGUGACGGUAAUGGAUGAAUAAGCACCGGCUAACUACGUG